rnacentral:rRNA from 1 species
UACAGAGGGUGCAAGCGUUAAUCGGAAUUACUGGGCGUAAAGCGCGCGUAGGUGGCAAAGUAAGAUGGGUGUGAAAUCCCCGGGCUCAACCUGGGAACUGCAUCCAUAACUGCUUCGCUAGAGUACGGUAGAGGGUAGUGGAAUUUCCUGUGUAGCGGUGAAAUGCGUAGAUAUAGGAAGGAACACCAGUGGCGAAGGCGACUACCUGGACUGAUACUGACACUGAGGUGCGAAAGCGUGGGGAGCAAAC